UUUUCUAUUUUCAUUCAUUCUUUCUAUUCGGCCGUAAGAAGAAGAAAAAAAAAAAGGACGAGGAUAUAGGAGGUGGUGAAGAAAAGAAGAGGACGAGGAUACAGAUAGCAUCUAUCGUUAAACUUGAAGAAUUUUACAACUGGAAAGAGAAACUAUACAGAUUUGAUAAAGAUGAAAAUCAAUAGAAAGAGGAGUUGAAACUUUGAAGCUUCUUAAAACAUAAACAAAAUGAGAAAAAGUUGGGCUGGUUAUGAGGCAACCUAAGUUGUUGUUUUCUGUUUCCGAAUCGAUUUUGGUUCUAUUUAAGGUGUUGAUUUGAUUUAGGGUUUUUUUGUUGUUGAGAUUUUUUGCAAUAGGGUUAUUAUAAGAAAAAGAAGGAGAAGGAAAGGGUUGUGUGAAAUAUGAACUCUAAAUUCCCAAUUUUAUGUUUUUUUUUUUAUAUGAGGCUCCAAAUGAUUAGAUCUUGAUGUCUUCAUCUGAUGGUGUUAAUCUGAGUUUUAAUUUUGAUUCAUUCAUUAGUAUUGGAAUGGAUUUUUGUGGCCAAAUUUCAUUAUUGAAGUAGUUGAAACCUAAGUUAUAUUAGGGUUUGUUGUAUUUGUGGAUCAAAUAGAGGUUCUGAGAUGAACAUAAGUUUAUAUUAGGAUUGUUUUAUUUGUGGAUCAAAUGAAGGUUUUGAGAUAGAUUUGAAAUUCACUGAUUUUGGCGAUUAAUAAGAGGGUGUGAAGUAGUUUCAGCUUAGAAGAAGAAGGAAGAUGGAGUGAAUCUGUUGGAACCAGAAACAAGGAAGAAUUGAAUCUGUUGCUGGCCUUAUUUUUAUGAAUGAUUGAGUGAGUUUGGAGCUGAAUUGGUUUCAAUUAGGAGAUGAUUUUGCAUGGAAGACUUGGGUAUGAGCUGAAUUCAUUAAUUGAGGUCAAAUGGUUUGAGUUUUAGUGGAGUUCUAAGCUUAUAUUGCUGCCAGAAAAUCAAUAAAAGUGAUUAAUUUCUGUAGCUCUUGUUGCCAUGAAUUAAAUUGGUUUUGAGAUUUUUUUGUGUAAGCAGGAACAAUGAAGAACUGGAGUUGCUGCUAUACAUGUUGAGUUGUUCAAAGGGUUAAUCUAUCAAGGAUUCUGGAGCUUGAAUACAACAAGAAAUAGCUGGAGCAUAUGCUGCUAUGUAUGAAUUUUGUUAAAAGUUUUCAAUGGGUGUUGAACUGGAUUUGUAUAGACUAAAUAAGACAAAAUCCAACGGUAUCGCUUUAUUUUGCAAAGAAGGUAGCCGAAGCAAAACAGCAGCACAGCUUGACACAAAAAGCACCUAAAAAGUAUGGUCCUGUUUCUAAUACCUUCACACAUGCUAAGAUGAAGAUCAUUAUUCCAAGGGAGCCUGAACUGGGAAGCACAUAGGGAACGGAGGCUGAGGUAUACAUUCUUCGUAUCGAUGUUUAUUGCUUAUGACAUUUUCAAGAAAACAUUACACUGUACGCAACCAAACAUAUAUGCCUUAUUUUCAAACUUCAGGUCCAAGAACGUUACAUAUUUAGGAGAAUAAGCGAAACCAACUGCACAUCAAUUUAAAGCACUUCCCUUGAACAGAAAGUUCGUACUUUCAGUCAAUAAAUUGGAUAUCUUCUUUCAAACAUAUUUAUUUUUCGUGUAUCUCAUGAGCCAUUUUGUUUCUUUUUAUUUUUUGAAAAUUCUCGAAGUUCAUACGAUGCCGUUUCGAAAAAAGAGCACACCAAAGUUGCCCCAGUUUCAAGUAAGCAAUGAUAUGGCCCUUGAUGUUUCUAGUCAGCAUGAUUUUGUUUGUGUAUGGCAUCACCAUGAUUUAUGUGCAUUGAAGGUAUCCAUAUGCCAACUGUUAGGUAUUUCACUUAACCUCAUUAAAGACAUUAACCUCAAAUUUCCCUCAUUAUUUUUCUUUUUUCUUGCUUGUCCUCGUCAUCUAGGGUUGGACAACAUAACCUAAGGGAAGAUAGAGGUUUGAUGUGAGUUGCUCAUUCUGGAAAAAUUAGCUGACCAGAAGUGGUGGUGAACUGUCGACACGAUAUUAAAGAUGGUUCAAUCCUGGCCACAAUAUAGUGAUCAAAUUGAUAAGCUUCCUCUUCAUGUAGAGCUUAGUUUCUUGAGCAAAUGAAUUUUCAUUUUGUGGAUCAGGGUGAAUUUCAUGUCAUGUUAUAUACCCUGAUAUCACGAGAUAAUCAUAUAACUCCUUUUUUUUUAUUGAAGUACAAUUAAAUGAUUCAGUAUUUCUGAUAAAGAUAUCCUCGUAUUUCUGAUAAUGAUUCAAGUAUUUGUAU